rnacentral:rRNA from 1 species
AUGGUUGAAGAACCACUCAAAAUCUAUCACACUGCUGAAGCUUUUUACUUGGAUCAUCUUCGAUCCCUUUGUGCUCGUGCCGGAACCCCAACUAGCUUAGUUGAGGGCAAAUCUUUAGAUGAACAUGCUUGUUAUGUGCGACACCGUAUAUCUGAAAAAGGGAAAUUAUUAUGGAGUCAAAUUCAACGUUUGCAAUGCUAUGCUUGGAAUUUAUGUGAAAUAUAUGAUUUUACUUGUUGUUCUGAAAACCCUAAGAAACACCUUCCCUAUCAAUGUGAGUUUAGUGAUAAUGGAAUCGUAUCUUCGUAUGCUAAGGGUGUUUACAAUUACUAUGAUGUUCAACAAAUGGAAGAAUUUGUUGCUUUUGAGGGUGCUUAUGAAAUUGCUUCUUUGAUUGAAAAGUAUGAUGCUACUUUUCACAAAUCUGAAAAUUUUGCUAUACUUAAAUAUUGCUAUGAUAAUUAUGCUUCUAAUACCUAUGUUAAACAACAUAUUGAGGAAUACUUCGCUGUCCAAGAAGAGACUAAUAUUUUGCAGGAGACUAUGGAAGAAGAAAUUGAUGAAACUGUGAGCUCAUUGGAUGAAAAAGAUGAUGAGGAGAGUGAAGAACAAAAGGAGGAAGAGUGGAUUGAUCACUCGUGCCCACCUUCUAAUGAGAGUAACUCUUCAACUCAUACAUUGUUUAAUUCCCCUUCGUGCUUACCGAAGGAUGAUUGCUAUGAUGACUGUUAUGAUCCCAUUGAUUCUCUUGAAAUAUCCCUUUUUGAUGAUGCUUGCUAUGCUUGUGGCCAAGAUGCCAAUAUGAAUGAUGCUUAUGGAGAUGAACUUGCUAUAAUUCCUUAUGUUAAACAUGAAAUUGUUGCUAUUUCACCCACGCAUGAUAGUCCUAUUAUCUUUUUGAAUUCUCCCGACUACACUAUAUCGGAGAAGUUUGCCCUUAUUAAGGAUUACAUUGAUGGGCUGCCUUUUAUCGUUGCACAUGAUGAUUUUGAUGAAUAUAAUAUGCAUGUGCUUGCUGCUCCUACUUGCAAUUAUUAUGAGAGAGGAACUAUAUCUCCACCUCUCUAUGUUUCCAAUACGAUAAAAUUGCAAGAAAUUGUUUAUACUAUGCAUUGGCCUUUACUAUGUGUGCAUGAAUUGUUCUUUUAUGACAUGCCGAUGCAUAGGAAGAGAGUUAGACUUCGUCAUUGCUUGAUAUAUGUUGCUUUGUGCUCACUACUAAAUUACAAAUCAUUGUUAAUUAAAAUUGGCUUUGAUAUACCUUGGGAUCCGGGUGGAUUCACUACUUGA